GACGAACGCUGGCGGCGUGCUUAACACAUGCAAGUCGAGCGGUAAGGCCCUUUCGGGGGUACGACGAGCGGCGAACGGGUGAGUAACACGUGGGUGACCUGCCCUCCAGCUCUGGGAUAAGCCUGGGAAACCGGGGUCUAAUACCGGAUAUGACUCCAUGACGCAUGUUGUGGGGUGGAAAGCCUUGUGCGGCUGAGGAUGGGCCCGCGGCCUAUCAGCUUGUUGGUGGGGUGAUGGCCUACCAAGGCGACGACGGGUAGCCGGCCUGAGAGGGCGACCGGCCACACUGGGACUGAGACACGGCCCAGACUCCUACGGGAGGCAGCAGUGGGGAAUCUUGCGCAAUGGGCGAAAGCCUAACGCAGCGACGCCGCGUGAGGGAU
rnacentral:rRNA from 1 species